GAGGCGGCAGAGACAUGGGUUGCUGGGCAGGGUAAGAGGCGGCGGCGGGGCCAGGUGGGGUGGCUGGGCAGGGUUUGAGGCAACAGAGACAGGUGAAUCACGUCAUAUUGGCAUAAUGAUGAAAAGUGCCAAUACCUACCGCCCAUCAAUGACAUCCUGCAGUAACUUCAUUCACCAAGCCAGGCUUUAAAAACUCCGCGCCAUGACACUGCCAGAGACAACACUGUCUGCACUGAUGGACGGAAUCCUUCCUGCCUCUCACCCACGUGACACAUCCAUGGGAAAUGCUCUUCUAUCUUUAUUUAUAUUCUUUUCUCUUAUAUAAUAAAGUCUUACAGUACAGAA